rnacentral:misc_RNA from 1 species
CAGUGUUCGCUGCCCUCACGGGUAGCAAACCUCACCCUUGUGUAUUAUAUCUUUGUUGCUUUGGCACGCCGCCUUCGGGCACUGGCUUCGGCUGGCUCGCGCGUGUCAGAGGACCCCAAACUCUGUGUUUAGUGUUGUCUGAGUACUAAGUUAAUACGUUA